GUUGACAGUAUAUCUAUAGCACAUGCAUACAUUGUUUACACCUUGGCAUCCGUCAGAUCGUGUACAGACUUUCAAUUGCCAUCGCGACUAUGUAGAGUUUGUGUCAUGCUGCAUGCAUGUUUGUGUGAUUGUCAUCAAAACGAUCCUCAUUAUAAUACAAACGCAAUCGAUACAUAUCUCUACAGACGAGUAGGAGUCUAUCUAAUUGACUUGGUCAUUUACCUUGAACGGUUUAUACAAGACUUUCGCGCUUCAAUAAACAAUGUCUGUAGACAAAGAAGAGUGCUUCGUUUGCAUCGAAGAGGACGACGACGAGACACUGAAGUCCCCACGUUUGGUUCAUGAAAACUGCACAGACGGAGAGGACGUCUUCAUAUGUGACGAGCAUUCGGAGGACUAUAUCGAAGAUAGGAAAUGUCCGCGUUGUGAGGAGUCUUACACGCUUCAAGAUGUCUAGAUAGGCGAAUGAAGAUUCAAGUCGUUAGUAUAGCUUCAUGCUUAUGGGACAAUAGCUUCAACGCUUCGAUUUCAUUAUUUGUGUUUUGCUAAAGCACUGCUAUACACAUGUGUUGUUAUUUUGCGGUUUGCAAUACACGUUAUGUUGACGUCAUAAACUCUAAUUGUGCAAAAUUGUUUGCGUGUGUAGCAUAUUGCGUAAGACGUCUCCGCAAACAGCAGUUAUGAAAUGAACGCGUGUAUAGCCCUGAUUUACCUCCCUACAGAGCCAACUCAAAGUUCUAGACUCCGCUACUUCGUCUAACUUUGCUCAAUGCGUUUGAACAGCAUUUAUAUUGCUUAGAUCUAAAAAGAUGAGAAAGUUUGGCCUAAUUUUAGAAGGGGAUACCUAUAGAAAUUAGAUCAGAACACAUGCACGUAGGUGGAGGUUCUAAGACGUGGGGGUUGAGAUAUUUGCGCAAGGUCGUGUUUCAUAAUCUCAACUGUUUUCAGCAAGGCUUGACAGAGCUCAGUAUUACUGCUUCGGAAAGAUGUCUUCUUCCCGAAAACAAGCGUGUUGGACUUGUUCGACGGAAUACGGAGAUGAAAAUCCGAAGACUCCCAAACAAGUGCAUUGGAAUUGUACAGGAGGAGAGCAUGUCUACUUGUGCUAUUCGCAUUCCCAAGGGAUUUGCAGUUUCAAGACAUGUCCACGCUGUAACACUUCAUUUGCGCUUAGUGAUGCUUGAUUUCGUAUCUUGAAUGACAUGCAUGCUCCAUUCCUAUUGUGAGGACAUGCGUCUAUCUGGUUUGCGUGUUUGUAACUGCCUGCUUUCUUGCUAGUGUUUCAUUAUGAUUUCGUUAUCUUACAUGCAAUUGUUUGGCAAUACAAAUGCUAGACGAACUUUGCUAGAG